CCGUAUCACAUUGGAAUACCAGUUCUUGUCUGAUCACCAAGGUUAAGCAAUAUUGUGCUUGGUCAGUACCUAGAUGGAUGAGCACUUGUGAAUACCAGGUGCUGUCAG